rnacentral:rRNA from 1 species
AACCUGCCCUUGACUCUGGGAUAAGCACUGGAAACGGUGUCUAAUACCGGAUACGAACUUCAGCCGCAUGGCUAGGAGUUGGAAAGAAUUUCGGUCAAGGAUGGACUCGCGGCCUAUCAGCUAGUUGGUGAGGUAAUGGCCCACCAAGGCGACGACGGGUAGCCGGCCUGAGAGGGUGACCGGCCACACUGGGACUGAGACACGGCCCAGACUCCUACGGGAGGCAGCAGUGGGGAAUAUUGCACAAUGGGCGCAAGCCUGAUGCAGCAACGCCGCGUGAGG